AUGCAGAUGGGUUCUCUACCUAGCCUGUGCCUUGUUGCCUGUUCCUUUACUGUACAUGUGAUGACAGAAAAGAAGAUAGAGCCUCCAUGUUGAACAUGCCUGAUAAAACUCUGCAAAGAAAGUGUCUAGCACUUAUAUCUCCAGUAACUCCUGUCAAGGUUUGUUGUUGCUUGUUCAUCUUUGCAGUCCUGACUACAAGUGUGAUUGCACUUUCUAUUGUUCUGUCAGCAAGAAAGGAAAAGCCAGUGGUAGAGUCGUCUAAGUAUGCUGCUUGCCCAAAAAGCUGGAUUAGAUUUAGGAGUAAAUGUUUUUAUUUUUCUGAAGGCAUAAGAAAUUGGACAUUGAGUCAAACCUUCUGUGUCUCAUUAGAAGCCAGCCUUGCUCAGUUUGCAACUAUGGAGGAACUGAAUUUCCUGAAAAGAUACAAAGGCCCUUCUGACCAUUGGAUUGGCCUUAGAAGAGAAUCAUCCCAUCACAUUUGGGAAUGGACAGACAACAUGGAAUAUAAUAACACGCUUGCUAUCAGAGGAGGUGGAGAAUGUGCCUUCCUGAAUGACAAUGGAGUAAACAGUGACAGAAUCUACAUAAACAGAAAAUGGAUUUGUAGCAAGCCAAACAGUUAUGUCUACAGUUGCCAGUUAUGUCCCCACUGAGAUACUACCUAGUAGAGCUGUGAGAAGAGGGCCACCAUCCUCCAGACUCCAGAAUGGUAGACUCAUCAGCAGCUUCCACCAUGCCCCUGGAAAAACUGCAAGUAACAGACCUGCACAUGGAUCCCCUAAAUCUAAAAUAAAAGUUGGAAAAAAUGGAA
rnacentral:sRNA from 1 species